AAGCAGAAGCCUCAGAGAGUGAAGGCCAUCUACAACUGUUCAGCUGAUCAUCCAGACGAGCUGACGUUCAGUGAGGGGGAUGUGAUCGUGGUGGAGGGGGAGGAGGACAGUGAGUGGUGGAUCGGUCACGUUGAAGGAGAGCCGACCAGACGGGGAGUGUUUCCUGUCACCUUCGUUCACUUCAUCACAGAGUGACGUCGACACAACUUCCUGUUUUUUGACAAACACUCUGAUGUGUCGUCCUCUAAUCGAUGAGGAAGCUGCAGACAAAAAAAUCUGAAUUAACUUCCCCUCAUACAUUUAAAACACAAUGAUGGACGUAGUUGUUUGUAGUUUUUUGUCGUCUUGUUUUUUUACAGCUUGCAGAAACAAUUCAGAAGAAUCUGUCCAAAAGAAUUUAGUGGAAAAUGUUUCAAAUGAUGCUGCGAAGUUUUACAUUCAUUUAAGUAUUUAUUCCAUAGACGGUAAAUAAAGAUUGAUCGCCCCCUGGUGGCUGGCUGCAGUGUAGGUCAUAACCUGACUCAUUGUACUGAGUCUUUGAUUUUUAUUUACAGUAGAAACACAACAUGAACCAUUUAAAAAUCUACACUGGCCAAAAGUAUGCGGACAGAGGAGAUCUAUAAUCGUAAUAUAUGUGUCUCUCUCAUAUGGAGAUGUCCACUCCCCAGUUUAUUGUCAGGACACUUCAAGCCAGGAAAUAUUCUGAUCCUGUCUGUUUUCUGUUUCUGAUGUUUCCAUGAUUAUUAGAGAAACUCUGUAUUACCUGAUCGACCACUUUGAUUUUAUUCAUCCUCUUUUUAAACCAUUUCAUUAAAAACUUUCAACUCUGA